GCGGCCUAUCAGCUUGUUGGUGAGGUAAUGGCUCACCAAGGCAACGACGGGUAGCCGGCCUGAGAGGGCGACCGGCCACACUGGGACUGAGACACGGCCCAGACUCCUACGGGAGGCAGCAGUGGGGAAUAUUGGGCAAUGGAGGGAACUCUGACCCAGCGACGCCGCGUGCGGGAUGAAGGCCUUCGGGUUGUAAACCGCUUUCAGCAAGGAAGAAGCGAAAGUGACGGUACUUGCAGAAGAAGCACCGGCUAACUAUGUGCCAGCAGCCGCGGUAAUACAUAGGGUGCAAGCGUUGUCCGGAAUUAUUGGGCGUAAAGAGCUCGUAGGUGGUUCGUCACGUCGGAUGUGAAAAUCUGGGGCUUAACCCCAGACCUGCAUUCGAUACGGGCGAGCUAGAGUGUGGUAGGGGAGACUGGAAUUCCU
rnacentral:rRNA from 1 species